rnacentral:sRNA from 16 species
UUCCAAUCCAAAUACUUCUACCAACACAUUCAACCUUUUAACGUUUUUACGUUUCCAAACCACUCAAUCAACAUGUCUCCCUGCUCCUGCAACUGCUGCUCCGGCAACUGCAACUCCUGCUCUUGCUCCAACUGCAGCGUAAGUUGAC